GGAAUGCCCUGGCGUCGGGUUCAAGGUGAUCAAGAAUACCCUGACCCCGGGGUGGAGGCACACCAUUCCACCUCAGCGGGUUGAUACUCGCGACCCACAGCCGCUAAUCGGGUGGGCUCGGACGUGUAGUUUUUGUCAGUAGGCAGGUGUCACAGUCCUC
rnacentral:snRNA from 15 species